rnacentral:tRNA from 1 species
GCCUCUGGCCUGUAUGGGCGACCCUUUCCGAGGCUUUGCUUGGGAUUGGCGUCGACGCAAGAGAUGGGCCCGUAGCUCAGUUGGUUAGAGCACACGCUUGAUAAGCGUGGGGUCGGAAGUUCAAGUCUUCCCGGGCCCACCAUUUGCAGCAGCAAAUGAGUUUGCUGUAGCGAAUGAGGUUUGCUGUAGCGAAUUGUGGUUUGUUUGGGUUUACCUGAUCCUGGCGGUUUGCUGUCAGGUGUUUGCGAUGGUUGGGGCUGUAGCUCAGCUGGGAGAGCACCUGCUUUGCAAGCAGGGGGUCAGCGGUUCGAUCCCGCUCAGCUCCACCAAAUUCUGUCCUCACGGCGAAAGCCUGCGGACGGCGCGCCGAACGAUCGGCGACGGCCUCUGGCCUGUAUUUGGCGGAUUGUUGCUGGCGGUGAAUGAUAUCCUUUGAAGAAAUAAAAGUUUUGCAUCGGCUUAUGGCUGAUGCGUGUUCUGCAUACAUUGUGAAGAGAAGAUUGAUCUGGAGGCUUCCAGGUGUCGGGUUUUGCCCUUUUGGGUUUAACUUGGCGUCCGAGCCCAGUUCUGAUGAUCCCAUGGAUGGCCUAGCCGGCCGGAUAUGGGUGAAGGACUGGAGGUAGGAAGGAAGCUUGUCGCUCUGGGCCGUUGUUGUUUGCUGAUCUUUAGGGAUCAAGCAUCUGACGGACGGCUUGAUUACCGUUGCCUGACCGCGCGGUAUCGGAUCAUAUCUCGAGAAGCUGGUCUUAAGACAGGCUGCAAGCGAGCUGCUCGGCGUAGCUCCAAUAAAGCAGACCUGUCGAACACGUUAAUGGCAUUGUUUU